rnacentral:rRNA from 1 species
UGCAGUCGGACGGGAUUGAGGAGCUUGCUUCUCAUGAGAGUGGCGCACGGGUGCGUAACACGUAUGUAACCUACCUUGUUCAGGGGGAUAGCCUCUCGAAAGAGAGAUUAACACCGCAUAAAAUCAAUUUAUGGCAUCAUAGAAUGAUCAAAUAUUUAUAGGAACAAGAUGGGCAUGCGGAACAUUAGCUAGUUGGUAAGGUAACGGCUUACCAAGGCUACGAUGUUUAGGGGAUCUGAGAGGAUGACCCCCCACACUGGUACUGAGACACGGACCAGACUCCUACGGGAGGCAGCAGUAAGGAAUAUUGGUCAAUGGACGCAAGUCUGAACCAGCCAUGCCGCGUGCAGGAAGACGGCCCUACGGGUUGUAAACUGCUUUUGUACCGGAAUAAACCUUUUCACGUGUGAGAAGCUGAAUGUACGGUAAGAAUAAGGAUCGGCUAGCUCCGUGCCAGCAGCCGCGGUAAUACGGAGGAUCCAAGCGUUAUCCGGAUUUAUUGGGUUUAAAGGGUGCGUAGGUGGCCUAUUAAGUCAGGGGUGAAAGACGGUAGCUUAACUAUCGCAGUGCCUUUGAUACUGAUGGGCUUGAAUACACUUGAGGUAGGCGGAAUGUGACAAGUAGCGGUGAAAUGCAUAGAUAUGUCACAGAACACCAAUUGCGAAGGCAGCUUACUAAAGUGUUAUUGACACUGAGGCACGAAAGCGUGGGGAUCAAACAGGAUUAGAUACCCUGGUAGUCCACGCCCUAAACGAUGAAUACUCGAUGUUGGCGAUAUACGGUCAGCGUCUAAGCGAAAGCGUUAAGUAUUCCACCUGGGGAGUACGCCCGCAAGGGUGAAACUCAAAGGAAUUGACGGGGGCCCGCACAAGCGGA